ACUCCUACGGGAGGCAGCAGUGGGGAAUAUUGCACAAUGGGGGAAACCCUGAUGCAGCCAUGCCGCGUGUGUGAAGAAGGCCUUCGGGUUGUAAAGCACUUUCAGUAGGGAGGAAGGUAGUGUAGUUAACACCUGCACUAUUUGACGUUACCUACAGAAGAAGCACCGGCUAACUCCGUGCCAGCAGCCGCGGUAAUACGGAGGGUGCGAGCGUUAAUCGGAAUUACUGGGCGUAAAGCGCAUGCAGGCGGCCUGUUAAGUCAGAUGUGAAAGCCCGGGGCUUAACCUCGGAAUUGCAUUUGAAACUGGCAGGCUAGAGUCUUGUAGAGGGGGGUAGAAUUUCAGGUGUAGCGGUGAAAUGCGUAGAGAUCUGAAGGAAUACCAGUGGCGAAGGCGGCCCCCUGGACAAAGACUGACGCUCAGAUGCGAAAGCGUGGGGAGCAAACAGGAUUAGAUACCCUGGUAGCACAGAG
rnacentral:rRNA from 1 species